AAGACUAUACUCUCAAGCAUCAUUUCUACAGUUUGUUACUAGAGAAGUGUCCUAAACAGGUAGAGCGCUGGAAACCAUGAGGAAGAGAGGCAGUGUUCUCUCCUGAGAGUGAAACUGGCUCUUCAUGUUGCUUCUGCAACUAUUUUUGUCACCGAUGAUCUUUCUUUUCUUCCUUUGUGAGAGGGAGGAGAGUGGCUUUGUGAGAGAGAGCCUCCUGAGGGGC
rnacentral:snoRNA from 1 species